CCUACGGGUGGCAGCAGUGGGGAAUAUUGGACAAUGGGGGCAACCCUGAUCCAGCCAUGCCGCGUGUGUGAAGAAGGCCCUCGGGUUGUAAAGCACUUUCAGUGAGGAAGAACGCCUGGUGGUUAAUACCCAUCAGGAAAGACAUCACUCACAGAAGAAGCACCGGCUAACUCCGUGCCAGCAGCCGCGGUAAUACGGAGGGUGCGAGCGUUAAUCGGAAUUACUGGGCGUAAAGCGCGCGUAGGUGGCUUGAUAAGCCGGUUGUGAAAGCCCCGGGCUCAACCUGGGAACGGCAUCCGGAACUAUCAAGCUAGAGUGCAGGAGAGGAAGGUAGAAUUCCCGGUGUAGCGGUGAAAUGCGUAGAGAUCGGGAGGAAUACCAGUGGCGAAGGCGGCCUUCUGGACUGACACUGACACUGAGGUGCGAAAGCGUGGGUAGCAAACAGGAUUAGAUACCCUAGUAGUC
rnacentral:rRNA from 1 species